UCCCGCUUAGCUCAGUGGUAGAGCGCGUCACUAGUAAGCGCUGCUUACGUAAUGACGAGGCCGCUUGUUCGAAUCAGGCAGUGGGAA